UACGUAGGGGGCAAGCGUUGUCCGGAUUUACUGGGCGUAAAGCGCGCGUAGGCGGAACGAUCAGUCCGGUCUGAAAGCCCCCGGCUCAACCGGGGAGGGUGGCUGGAAACUGUCGUUCUUGAGGGCGAGAGAGGUGGAUGGAAUUCCUAGUGUAGAGGUGAAAUUCGUAGAUAUUAGGAAGAACACCGGUGGCGAAGGCGGUCCACUGGCUCGGUACUGACGCUGAGGUGCGAAAGCGUGGGGAGCAAACAGG
rnacentral:rRNA from 1 species